rnacentral:rRNA from 1 species
GACGAACGCUGGCGGCGUGCCUAAUACAUGCAAGUAGAACGCACAGUUUAUACCGUAGCUUGCUACACCAUAAACUGUGAGUUGCGAACGGGUGAGUAACGCGUAGGUAAACUGACUGGUAGCGGGGGCUAACUAUUGGAAACGAUAGCUAAUACCGCAUACUAUUGAUUAUUGCAUGAUAAUUGAUUGAAAGAUGCUAUUGCAUCACUACCAGAUGGACCUGCGUUGUAUUAGCUAGUAGGUGAGGUAACGGCUCACCUAGGCGAGGAGACGUAACCGACCAGAGAGGGGGAUCGGCCACGCUGGGACUGAGGCACGGCCCAGACUCCUACGGGAGGCAGCAGGAGGGAAUCUUCGGGAAUGGACGAAAGUCUGACCGAGCAACGCCGCGUGAGAGAAGAAGGUUGUCGGAUCGGAAAGCUCUGUUGUAAGAGAAGAACGGAUGUGAGAGUGGAAAGUGCACACUGUGACGGUAUCUGACCAGAAAGGGACGGCUAACUACGUG